rnacentral:tRNA from 2 species
GGCCCUGGGGUGUAACACGUGAGGUUGCAAACCUCAAGAUGCAGGGUAACGCCUGCCGGGGCUU